UACGUAGGGCGCAAGCGUUGUCCGGAAUUAUUGGGCGUAAAGAGCUCGUAGGCGGUCUGUCACGUCUGCCGUGAAAACCCGAGGCUUAACCUCGUGGCUUGCGGUGGAUACGGGCAGACUAGAGGUAGGUAGGGGAGAACGGAAUUCCCGGUGUAGCGGUGAAAUGCGCAGAUAUCGGGAGGAACACCGGUGGCGAAGGCGGUUCUCUGGGCCUUACCUGACGCUGAUGUGCGAAAGCGUGGGGAGCAAACAGG
rnacentral:rRNA from 1 species